UGCAUCCAAGAGGCACAGACCAGUCGUGGCAGGCAAUAUGGGUUUGGACGUAGCAUCCACUGGAUAGGGUCAAAGGUCGAAAAGCUGCCAUGUUGGUGCGGCCAACGAAGCUCCCAGCAACGAUGGACGAUUCAGUGGUCUCUGCCGAAUCGCUGGUGGUGCGCCUCUGCGAGGUUCCCCGCCUUGCUGUCUAUAGUCCAGGUUUUCUGUGCGAAGCUGCA